UACGAAGGUGGCAAGCGUUACUCGGAAUUACUAGGCGUAAAGGGCAGGUAGGUGGUUCGGUAAGUCUGUUGUGAAAUCUCCCGGCUUAACUGGGAGAGGUCAACAGAAACUACCGGGCUUGAGUAUAGGAGAGGGUACUGGAAUUCCCGGUGUAGCGGUGAAAUGCGCAGAGAUCGGGAGGAACACCAAUGGCGAAAGCAGGUACCUGGACUAUUACUGACACUCAGCUGCGAAAGCUAGGGGAGCAAACAGG
rnacentral:rRNA from 1 species